UACGUAGGGGGCGAGCGUUGUCCGGAAUUACUGGGCGUAAAGAGCUCGUAGGCGGUAGUUCAAGUCAGGUGUGAAAUCCGACGGCUUAACCGGAGGACUGCACCUGAUACUGGGCUGCUAGAGGUAAGGAGAGGAAGGUGGAAUUCCCGGUGUAGCAGUGAAAUGCGUAGAGAUCAGGAGGAACACCGAUGGCGAAGGCAGCCCCCUGGGCCUGUACUGACGCUCAUGCACGAAAGCGUGGGGAGCAAACAGG
rnacentral:rRNA from 1 species